GGUCACUAUCUAUCAGCGUGAUUCAUCGAGAGGAUGGAAGGCAUGCCCUCCACCUACACCCCUUUAAUCCUAAAACCCUACCUCCCGAUGUUAAGUCAGAGUACCCAGUUUUGCACGCCAAUGACCACUGCGUCAUUAUCGGGGAAUACCCGCCACCAGAAAGAAUGGCAGACUGCUUUUUCUGGGCCCCUGAAAGCAAGGUUACUGGGUCCAAUUUUGAGUGUGAUUUCAUAUGGAAAAACUAUUGUACUUUCCGUAUUGAUGUGCCAUUUGAUCGGACAGAUUGUCCGUAGCUGUAUGAUGUGUCAAUAAAUGCGAGACAGCAGCUGCGCAAGUGCUAUAGCUACUUUGGCAAGUUUGAUUUCUUAUUCUAGUGCACCUUGAUGUUUUCUUUUCAGCAAGACAAGUUGUUUGUUGUAAAGAUUGCUUUAUAACAUAAAAGUAUUCCUUAUGUCUU